CACCCAGGAUCACCAAGGUCUCUCCUACCCCGGGGCCUGUGCACCUGCUGUGCCUCUGCUUGGGGUGCUCUUCCCAGGGCUUGCCCACCUCCUCAGAGAGGCCUCCUGACCCCUGACACGGCCUUGCCCUUCACCUCUAUCGUCCUUUAGAACAGCCCCCACCUCCCGCACAUCAUGCAGUUGCAGGUUCAAUGGCUACUGCUUGUCCUCCAGACUCCUCUCCACAAGCCAACAGCUCUCUCCUGGCUUUGAUUUUCAACCAUUUAAGUUGAAAAAAAUUCAAAACAAAUGAAAUGCACUUAAGAGAAAGCCUUGAGGAGUUCAGCAGGCCACCCAAAGUGAAGGGACUCCUUUGGGGGUCUUUGUUGUUAUCAAUUAUUUAUUGAGCCCUGAUGUGUUCCUGGCGCCACCAAGACCGAAAGGAGACAGGGUCCCUGCCCUGGGGCAUCCCAACAAAGAAGGGAGAGUUUGUGAAGCUUAAAAAUGUCCCAGAUGGAUAGGCCUCAUCACUCCUCAGAUGAUUCUCGAAGGAUAACACACAGGCCAGUGGGCAGCCCUAGGCCAGGGGGAUUACCAAGACAUGAAGACUUUCUUUCUGUCUCAGCAACCUUCAUGCUUGGUCAAGCAAAGGUGUUGCUUAAGUCAAACCCAGGGCAGGGGAGAGCAGUUGAAGCAAAGUGAGUCUUUGGAGGCCCUGUGGUUGUGGGGUCUGGUGUGGAGACAGUGAGAACGGAAAAGGUGGGAGAGGAGCAGUCAACCCGUGAAUGGCCCCAUUCAGACGCCUUUACCUGGAAGACGUGGCAGGUCUACUGGGGUUCAUCCCAUCUGAGCCAGGCCUGGCUUUUCUUGGCUGCAAGCUGAGAGCUGGGUCCAGGUCUGCUGAACCAAGGUUCUCCCAUCUUCCUUGAGCCAGUGACAAUCAGAGGCCUAUUUCUUUCAUGACGGAAGGCAGGAGAACAAGCAGGCAAGACCAGCUGUGCUAGCACAUGGCACCCCUUUCCCACAUCACACCUGCUAACAUCCCAUUGUUCAAAGCAAGUAACACAACCAAACCCAAUAUCAACAGGACAAGAAAACAGACUCCACCUCUAGGUGCACAAACUACAGAGUCACGGACAGAGAACACAGAUCUAGGGAAGGAAGCUGGAGAAUGAGAACAAUGACCCUCAAUAACACAACCUCCCACAGGUUUCCAAAUCCCCAACCUGAGCAUAUUUCCAAGGAAACGGAAUCAUGGGUUCAGGGUUUUAGAGCAAGCAAUUUCUGCUCUCCCAGCUUAGUUUCCAUACCCUUAACACAGGGGCAAUGACGUCGCAUCGAAUCAUAUCUUAUAAGUCUGUGAUGAUGUUUCAACAACUGAACGCCAGAAAAGUGCUUAGAGCAAGGCCAGCUCCCGGCUCACCCACCCAGCAGCUCAGCACCUGCGAAAUCCGUCUCCCGAUGCACACUUGCUAACCGCGUGGGUGUGAGCACAACGAUGGGAAACAGCGGAAGUCCCCGGAGUGCAGACUCAGGAGUGAACCUGCCUGAAGAGUGGCGUCUAACGCACACACUGUGGUCAGCUCCACCCCACUAUGGGUCCCGGGAAUAGGAGCAAGUAUGUAUUUUGCUUGCAGGGCAGGUGUUUCAUCCACAUUAUUGCAGGAACAGAUGAAUUUAAUUAAAAGAACACCACAGUGGGCACCUCUUCCAGGGAUGUCUCCCUCUAAGAACAUGACACUGAGAUGAUCAAGGUUCUAAAAGGGCGAUCAAAUUACUCUCCGAAAAUGAAACUGCUCAGACAGAAUGACAAUUAAAUUAAUAACAACCAAGACAAUGCCCAGAUUUCAUCUCCGCUCACAGCCCCUCCUGUGUGCUGUAUGAUCAGGUUCUUGGGGUGGCUCCAGAUACAGCAAACAGUCAGGAUUAAUCCACAAGAGUGAGCUGUCAGCAUGAGGUUCCCCUACAGUGGAGCUUGCCAAGGUCCGUGCCUCCCAGGGCACCCGUUCCAGGGCUAACAGAUGAAGCAUGGAAAUGCUGUGUGGAGUGAGCUAAGCAGCCGUUCUCAGGAGAAAACAGACAAAUCCUCCUGCAUCCUGGCAAACCAGCUUUGUGGCCUGUUUUAUGUCAUCUUUGCUGAGCUCCACCGGGUCACCCCUCCUGUUGGCUUUGUGAUACUGACAUUUCAGGCACUGGCACAGAUACAUUGGCCUUCCUGGCUGGGAUUUCACGGACGGAGUGAGCAGUGCUGGCUUGGAGGAGCCGUGGCGGCACAGGGCCUGUGCUCUCAGCUGAUCAACGCCUUGAUAGCCAGGAAAGGCCUGUCCUACCCCAAAGGGCCCUCGCAGCACUGUUUGAAAUUGCUCUUGCCAUCUUUGGAAUGGAUUCCUCAGUACAUUUCAGACUCGUUGUUGUGACUUUGGUUUUAAUCCAGGGACACACCGUGGCCAGUGGAGUGUCUCAACAGCAUCUAUGAUCGCUGUUUCCCAGAGACAGCAUCUCAGAUACCGAUGCUGAAAGAGAAACAGCAGCCUGUCCCCAAGUGGCAGGAAAUAGUCCAUUUUAAUGGCAAUUUCAUAAGUGGCAGAUGAUUUUUAUUGUAAUUUUCUGGUGAGCUGAUUAAGUGGAGGCAGAGUCAGUUCUGAGGCGUCAAUGUCUUUAACAAUUCGGGGAGACGGAGGCCACGCUCAGCAGGAACACUGAGUCCAUGGAAAACAGGCCCUGGGCCCGCUGAUGUGCAUAAUUCCACGUUUGCCCCUCAUGUAACCAGGAUGGUAAAUUACAGGUGUCAGAUAAUCACGCUCUGGAGUGGCUACUUGAGGAUGCGAUCGACCAAUUUAAGCUCCGUCUGACACAUGAUCAAUAGCCCGUGAUGCUGCAUGGAAUUGCAGGCACAGUGUCCAAACCUGCAGAGCAGUGGCUCCCAGCUGGGGCAACUUUGCCCCCCAGAGGACAUUUGGCAAUGUCUGGAUAUGUUUGCAAUUGUCACAACUAGGAAAGGAGGUACCCAUAGGAUACACAGGAAAGUCCUCACACAGUUGUAUCCUGCCCAGACUGUCCGUAGAGCCAGGGUGAGAUGCUCUGACAGAGCCACAGUGAACAUUGCAUUCCAUCAUCUGGGUAUCUCCAGGAAUGUAUGUAGCUGGAUGUCUGGCUUUUCAUCUGGGUUUCACGAGCCUCCUGCAGAACUGAAACCAUGUGCAAAUCAGUUCUCAUACUUGCUCUCCUGCCUCCUUCCUAUUGUAAUUUUUUCUUCCCACCUUUUUUAUUGUUACUAGAGAAAUGAUGAAGAAAAAGAAUAGGCUGGAGAGUCACUCAAAAUUUUGUUUUCCUCAAUUAAAAAGAAGUAAUUUAGAAGUUACUCAAUGAUGUUUUCUUUAAUUAAAAAAAAAAGUAGUUUGGGAAAGCAGAAAAUUAAUGAAGACAGAAAACACAGGUUUCAUGAAAAAGUUCAGCAUCCCAGGAAAGGAGCAAAGAGAAGUCUGCAGAUGAGAGUUGCUCAGUGUCAGGACUCAGAAAACAAUACCCCAAGAUAAUGUUCAAACCUGAGUGCUUUGAACAAAGGAUAUUGAAAGACCUCAGAAGAGGGCCUCAGAACUCACAUGUCUCUCUGACCUUCUCCUGUCUCUCCUUCACUUCCAAAGCAUGAUCUUUGGCCAGGGGAUCUCUCUGGGAUUCCCUUAUCUGCCUGAGGGAUGUACUUCCAAAAGAAAUGUGACUGGCAUGACCUCCUCCCUAGGAAUCUCUUCAAACAGCCGGGAAAGACUGGUCACCUGAGAGGAGAUUGGAAGUCCUCACUGCACUCAGAAAGGCUGUUGUCCAUUCUUCUAGAGACUUUAUCUGAAUAACAAGGCAACUUUUGUUUACCAUUCAGUUCCUCCCCUUUCCUUUCUAACUUGUCACCACCUCCCCCAAAAGCCUCAAGCCUCCACUCCUACAAGCUAUAAAGACUUCAACCAUCUGGCUUCU
rnacentral:lncRNA from 1 species